rnacentral:misc_RNA from 1 species
AAGUCGUAACAAGGUAUCCCUUCCACCCACGGAAACCUUGAAAAUUGUCACUUCGGUGGCCAAUAGUCGCCAAUUCUGGCGGCGACACUGGCAGUCUGCACGGGAACAUCCUCUCAGAGGAAAACCCCGCAGUUGGAGCAAGAUCUCCAAUGCACAGGCUAAAUGCCGGUGGGUUCUGGAAAGGCCCCAGGAUUUAUGAUAUAGUCGGUCCUUGGAGAAAUCCCAGCGAGCGAACGUUCCGUAGGUGAACCUGCGGAAGGAUCAUUGAAGUGAAUACUUAGUCCAUAUUGGACGUGGUAGCCCCAAAUCCCCGGGGGUUUCCCCGGGGGCUGGCCGCCUAACCCUCUGUUUACAUUACCUUGUUUCUUUGGCGGGCCGCGGCCUCGCGCCCGGCCGGCUUCCCUCACGGGGGCUGGCGUGUGCCCGUCAGAGGCCCAUUCAAAUCUUUUUUAAAAAUGCAGUCUAAGUCUAUAUUUUAAUAGCCUAAAA